UGCAUGCUUUUCUUGAUGAACACUGUUGUCCUUUAAACUGUGAAAUGAAUGUAGAAGAGAAAGUGAAUUCUUUUGUAUACCAUGCAAUUUCAAGGGUGACCUUGCAAGAAUAUAGAUACCAAGUUGAAGAGUUUCAAGAUGCCAUUCAAAACCUUCUGUAUAAAGUCACAGAUGAACACAACAAGUUUGUGACACUGCAGAUGGAGUUAAGCAAGAUUCACGAACAGCAAACAGAUGGUGUGAAAGUUGAGUUUGCAGAGGAAAAUGUGGCAGAAGAGGAAUCAGGGAUUUUGUCGGUUCGCUCUCAGGCUGGUUUAGAGAGCAUUGACAUCCGUCAUGAGAGUGAGUUGUCUUUUCUGCCAGAGAGUGAAGACAGUGAAGAACAUGAAAAGGAGCUUCAGGGGUUAGAGAGCCCUGUGAACGCCUUAGAGCAGCCGCUGAAAGCAACAGAAGCUCAUUAUGGAACAGAGAUCCCGACGGUUCAGGGAAGCGUUGAGACCAUCCAUGGACCGUCAGCACAUCCGAGUGUUGAUUCAGUGGUAUUCGAAGACAGUGAUUUACAGAAAACACUUUACUGUGGAAAUUGUCUAUGUGAGCACACCGUCAGCAUCACAGAGAUUCACGAACAGCAAACAGAUGGUGUGAAAGUUGAGUUUGCAGAGGAAAAUGUGGCAGAAGAGGAAUCAGGGAUUUUGUCGGUUCGCUCUCAGGCUGGUUUAGAGAGCAUUGACAUCCGUCAUGAGAGUGAGCUGUCUUUUCUGCCGGAGAGUGAAGACAGUGAAGAACAUGAAAAAGAGCUUCAGGGGUUAGAGAGCCCUGUGGACACCUUAGAGCAGCUGCUGAAAGCAACAGAAGCUCAUUAUGGAGCAGAGAUCCCGACGGUUCAGGGAAGCGUUGAGACCAUCCAUGGACCGUCAGCACAUCCGAGUGUUGAUUCAGUGGUAUUCGAAGACAGUGAUUUACAGAAAACACUUUACUGUGGAAAUUGUCUAUGUGAGCACACCGUCAGCAUCACAGAGAUUCACGAACAGCAAACAGAUGGUGUGAAAGUUGAGUUUGCCGAGGAAAAUGUGGCAGAAGAGGAAUCAGGGAUUUUGUCGGUUCGCUCUCAGGCUGGUUUAGAGAGCAUUGACAUCCGUCAUGAGAGUGAGCUGUCUUUUCUGCCGGAGAGUGAAGACAGUGAAGAACAUGAAAAAGAGCUUCAGGGGUUAGAGAGCCCUGUGGACACCUUAGAGCAGCCGCUGAAAGCAACAGAAGCUCAUUAUGGAGCAGAGAUCCCGACGGUUCAGGGAAGCGUUGAGACCAUCCAUGGACCGUCAGCACAUCCGAGUGUUGAUUCAGUGGUAUUCGAAGACAGUGGAAAUUGUCUAUGUGAGCACACCAUCAGCAUCACAGAGCCAGAAGAGAUGCUUGAGUCAUUUACACAGAACCAAGAAAACACAGAGUCAUUGUGGUGCCUAGAUGACCUGAAUGACCACCAACAGGAACAGCCCAGGUCCAGAGAUCAGCCAGCUGUCCAUCUAAAUAAAGCUGAAAAAACUCUGAACAAAGGACACAUGGACCAGGAGCAACUGCACGCUGUACCUAUGGAAAGUGUUGCCAUGGCUGCCGAUGAGCUCCAGGAUGAUGCACUGCAGCCAGAAGAUGUCUCUGCCCAGGACUCUUCUGAGCUUCUAAAGAUCCUGACUCCUGUCGGUGGCCUUAAACAAAACUGCAAAGGUUACAGAAGUCUAGAAACACAAUUGCUACCAUUGGAGCAAGGCCAGUCAGAACCAGAAAUGCUUCAAAAGACGAUUAAAAAUCUUCAGAAUUUACUAGUAGAGAAAAUAGCUGAAGCCAUCGUUAGUCAAGCACAAAUGGAGGCCUUUCAGCAGUACAUGAAGUACUUCCAAGAGAAGAGAGCAUCAGAACCGGAAAUGAGAGAUAGGCACAAUGUAAAUCCUCUGAAAGGAGACAACACAGUUAUAGACAUCUACACAUUAACUAUGAGACUAGCACAGUUAGUGAACCAAGUAGCUGAAAUGCAUUCUAGUUUUAUUAAAGAAAAACAACAAUUUGAAUUUACAGAGAAAAGGGUUUCUGAUAUAGAAAAAGUACUGAAGCUACAGAUGCCUCUAGACAAGGACACUACAAAAAGGCAGGAGAUUAAAGAAACCGAAAGAAGCCUUCAAGAUUUGGAUAUAUGUGAGGUUAGUUUUCAUUCAAGAUUUGAAUAUCUCUGAGACAAGAGUUGAUCUAAUUCAUGCCAGUGGAGACCGUGGAUUUUUGGAUGAACUUGAAGCUCUUGGAGCUGGAUCGGUGUCCCAAAAAGAACGAGACGGUUAUAAAGAACAAACAGAAAACUAUGAAGGGCUUUUGGUGUCCUCCAUUCUUGGAUUGACAUAUUCUAAUGCUCACCAAACCAGAGAAAUGCAUUCAAGUGAUUCUGAGUCUGAUUGGGAUUACGAGUAUGAGACAGCAUCAGAAGGUGGAGAAGAAAGGGGCAGUGAAUACGGAACACCUGUGGAAUGUCUCCAGAAAGCUGACAUAAGGACUGUGUCAGCUGAAAAUCACACAUUAAAUACUCAAAUGACUGGGACCAGAGCACAAGACACCGCAAGCCAAACUGUGUGCAUGCGCACUUCUGUGAAUGUACAGCCAGCUGGGAGCAUUCAGUUUGUUGCUCCAUAAAAAAUGUUUUAUUCAGGCAAAUUAUCUCAUUGCAUACAGGAGAUAAUUGAUAGUAUUACUAUCAGUGUUAAUAGUUGACAAAUUGGUUUUAAAUAGCUAUAUGGUUCAGCUCUUAGGGUUUUUCUUCAUUGUAAAGGUUUUUUUUUUUUUUUUUUGAGAAAAGGCUUUUGAUCCUCUCAAGAUGUCUACGUAAAGUAAAGGGGAAUCCAAAAUAAAAAUAGCUGUUUGUUUUUCAUUACAAAAUUCAAAAUUCAGAUGCACACUAUAACAAAUUAUAAAAUGAGUAUGUGGGGGCAUUACUUACCCGUCAAGUGGAACUUGCCCUUAUCCCAAAAGCUUGUCACAUGCUGCUUCUUAGAAACUAAGGGAAUAAUUUUUCCUGUUUUUGUUUUUUUAAUCUUUAGUUUUCCUAACACUUUAUAAAUUAUUAAACUGUAUAUGAUUAUAACUUUA